rnacentral:rRNA from 1 species
GACGAACGCUGGCGGCGUGCUUAACACAUGCAAGUCGAACGAAGAGCGACGGAAGCUUGCUUCUAUCAAUCUUAGUGGCGAACGGGUGAGUAACGCGUAAUCAACCUGCCCUUCAGAGGGGGACAACAGUUGGAAACGACUGCUAAUACCGCAUACGAUCUAACCACGGCAUCGAGGAUAGAUGAAAGGUGGCCUCUACAUGUAAGCUAUCACUGAAGGAGGGGAUUGCGUCUGAUUAGCUAGUUGGAGGGGUAACGGCCCACCAAGGCGAUGAUCAGUAGCCGGUCUGAGAGGAUGAACGGCCACAUUGGGACUGAGACACGGCCCAGACUCCUACGGGAGGCAGCAGUGGGGAAUCUUCCGCAAUGGACGAAAGUCUGACGGAGCAACGCCGCGUGAGUGAUGACGGCCUUCGGGUUGUAAAGCUCUGUUAAUCGGGACGAAAGGCCUUCUUGCGAAUAGUGAGAAGGAUUGACGGUACCGGAAGAGAAAGCCACGGCUAACUACGUG